UACGAAGGGGGCUAGCGUUGUUCGGAUUUACUGGGCGUAAAGCGCACGUAGGCGGAUUGGUCAGUUAGGGGUGAAAUCCCAGAGCUCAACUCUGGAACUGCCUUUAAUACUGCCAAUCUAGAGUCCGGAAGAGGUAAGUGGAACUCCUAGUGUAGAGGUGGAAUUCGUAGAUAUUCGCAAGAACACCAGUGGCGAAGGCGGCUCACUGGCCCGGUACUGACGCUGAGGUGCGAAAGCGUGGGGAGCAAACAGG
rnacentral:rRNA from 1 species